GACGAACGCUGGCGGCGUGCCUAAUACAUGCAAGUCGAACGAAGCUGUUUUAACUGGUGCUUGCACCGACUUAAACAACUGAGUGGCGAACGGGUGAGCAACACGUGGGUAACCUGCCCCAAAGCGGGGGAUAACAUUUGGAAACAGAUGCUAAUACCGCAUAACCACAGAAACCACAUGGUUUCUGUGUCAAAGAUGGUUCCGGCUAUCACUUUGGGAUGGACCCGCGGCGUAUUAGCUAGUUGGUAAGGUAAUGGCUUACCAAGGCAAUGAUACGUAGCCGAACUGAGAGGUUGAUCGGCCACAUUGGGACUGAGACACGGCCCAAACUCCUACGGGAGGCAGCAGUAGGGAAUCUUCCACAAUGGACGAAAGUCUGAUGGAGCAACGCCGCGUGAGUGAAGAAGGUUUUCGGAUCGUAAAACUCUGUUGUCAGAGAAGAACGUGUGCGAGAGUAACUGCUCGUGCAGUGACGGUAUCUGGCCAGAAAGCCACGGCUAACUACGUGCCAGCAGCCGCCGUAA
rnacentral:rRNA from 1 species